GACAGAGGGUGCAAACGUUGUUCGGAAUUACUGGGCGUAAAGGGCUCGUAGGCGGCCAACUAAGUCAGACGUGAAAUCCCCAGGCUCAACCUGGGAACUGCGUCUGAUACUGGAUGGCUUGAAUCCGGAGAGGGAUGCGGAAUUCCAGGUGUAGCGGUGAAAUGCGUAGAUAUCGGGAGGAACAUCUGUGGCGAAGGCGACACCCUGGACCAGCACUGACACUGAGGCACGAAAGCGUGGGAGCAAACAGG
rnacentral:rRNA from 1 species